UCCCUGGGGGUUCAAUGGGUUGAAGAUCUGGCAUUGUCACUGCCAUAGCUUGGGUUCAAUCCCUGGCCGGGGAA
rfam:Sus scrofa chromosome 2.